GAUGAACGCUGGCGGCGUGCCUAAUACAUGCAAGUCGAGCGAACGGACGAGAAGCUUGCUUCUCUGAUGUUAGCGGCGGACGGGUGAGUAACACGUGGAUAACCUACCUAUAAGACUGGGAUAACUUCGGGAAACCGGAGCUAAUACCGGAUGAUAUUUUGAACCGCAUGGUUCAAAAGUGAAAGACGGUCUUGCUGUCACUUAUAGAUGGAUCCGCGCUGCAUUAGCUAGUUGGUAAGGUAACGGCUUACCAAGGCAACGAUGCAUAGCCGACCUGAGAGGGUGAUCGGCCACACUGGAACUGCGACACGCUCCGGCCUCCUAAGGGAGGCAGCGGUAGGGAAUCUUCCGCCAUGGGCGAAAGCCUGACGGAGCAACGCCGCGUGAGUGCUGAAGGUCUUCGGAUCGUAAAACUCUGUUAUUAGGGAAGAACAUAUGUGUAAGUAACUGUGCACAUCUUGACGGUACCUAAUCAGAAAGCCACGGCUAACUACGUG
rnacentral:rRNA from 1 species